CUCGUCUCUCUCUCUCUCUCUCUCUCUCUCUCUCACUCUACAUUGCUUCCUACCUCUCAAAAAGCGGUGACCUCCUUCGACCUCCUCCUCUCCCAUUGCUCCGGCCUCCUCCACUCUCCCAUUGCUCCGGCCACAGUAGUACUUGGUUCUGUAUACAUUAUUUGGCUCAAAACGUCAUGAACCUCAAGGUUGCUGCCCUUUCUGCACUCGGAUUGGAGAACAAAGCACAAUCAACACUGAAGGAGGGUACUAUGCUUGAAGGCAAUAGGAAAACUACUGCUGGACACAAGUGAGAAUAAAGGCUCAGGUACUAAAUGUGCACUUAUCAGUUCAACAUAAAUAGGCUUCAAAGUUGGAACUAAUGGCUUGACGCAAUAUUAAGUAUUAACAUAACAACUUUUGCAUUUUGACUAGAAAUGUAUGAGUUUGAUUUAGUCACGUACUUCAGUUCCUUAAUUAAGCUCUUAAACUAAUGUUCAUGUUGGACUCGUGCAUGGCUUAUCAAUGCUUAUAAUUUGUCUUUAUUAUGAAAUGUACUGAGUACUAGUGUUACUUUAUGAGUUUAGUUGAAUUAGCAGAUAUGUAUAAAUAUGGAGUGAUUGAACUGAGAUAAAUUCCAUCUUGGACUGGAAAAGCGAUCUCAGAUAAAUUCAAAACUCAAAUUUGGCAACACAUCACUCUAAGUUCCCUUAAUUACAAGUUUGUAACCACUUAGUAUGAUUGUUGUUUGUACAAAAGUAGUGUUUUAUUGAUCAUAGAUGCUUUGGCGAGUGUCACAAGAAAGCAAUUUUCCAAAGAAUGGCUAAGCUUUGGCGAGAUCAUAGAUGCUUGACAUUAAAAGAAGUACGGAAGCAAGCUGAAUUGGUAGGCCUACAAACAGCUGCUGCCAUGUGCAAACCUGAUAAUAUUCAUUCUAUGGAUGCGUGGUUAAGUUUUAUCAAAUCCAGAAUGACUCCAGCCUUUAUGGUAAGUGUAUCGACAAAGGAUCCAAACGAGAAAAUACAUUGUGUUCCUCUUGGUCUUGGUUGUUGGAAAGUUUGGGUGCGUGAAGUCUUGCAUGACAUACCUUUGUUUUGGCCAACCCAAGAGUUCAGUACGCUUGCUGCAGCUAAAGGAAGCACAGUGGCUUGGCCCAUCAACUUCAUCAAGCUACUUUAAUAUGUGCUAUUUGAGGUAAGCAAUGGAGGCGAAAGCAAAUCAAGAACAUUACCGAUAAGAUGUUUGAUCAUUUCAAAAACAAGAUAGGAAGAGCAUAUAUGAGAUUCGAGGAUGGGCAAGUUUUAGACCUCUUUUUUGUUCUUGCCUCUCAUUUCAUUUUGAAGGCCUUUUGUGUUAUGGCUUGAAGAAUAGUUUAUCAACAUUGGAUUAAUUUGAGUUGUUGGAUAUAAUGGAUAAUUUUGUAAAAUGCACAUUGUCUUUGUCUACUUAA